CAUAUUUGCUGGCAGUGGGACGCAAACUGUGGGUGGAGGUAGUGGAUCUUCAGCUGGAGGAACAGCUGGCGGACACUCUACAUCCACAGAAAGUGGGACACAACCUGGGGGUGGUGGCAGAGGAAGUGGGGAUGUUGUACGUGGUGGACCUACAAUUACAGGUACUACAUCCACC